rnacentral:rRNA from 1 species
ACAGCAGCAGCCGCGGUAAUACGGAGGGUGCAAGCGUUAAUCGGAAUUACUGGGCGUAAAGCGCACGCAGGCGGUCUGACAAGUCAGAUGUGAAAUCCCCGGGCUUAACCUGGGAACUGCAUUUGAAACUGGCAGGCUAGAGUCUUGUAGAGGGGGGUAGAAUUCCAGGUGUAGCGGUGAAAUGCGUAGAGAUCUGGAGGAAUACCGGUGGCGAAGGCGGCCCCCUGGACAAAGACUGACGCUCAGGUGCGAAAGCGUGGGGAGCAAACAGGAUUAGAUACCCCUGUAGUCCCUGUCUCUUAUAC